CCCUACACAACGUUGCGAAUGAAGCCAGAAUUAGUAAAAACGGUAUAUAACAACAGGCAAAAUUUAUAUGAGCUGGCAAAGCCCGAAAUCCAUAUUUAAAAACGAUAAAUUGACGAAAACUUUUUUUUUCGUCAUAGGAUAAAUAAAUUAUUAAGAUUUCGUUAUAUGCUACUCAAAUUUCAAAGUAACUCCCAACAAAAAAACAACAAUGAAAAUGAUUAAGAACACAGUGAUGAGCUACAACGCAAAACCGGAAGAAAAGAGAAACCGACCAACACAACAAAAUUUCACCCUACUGGCUCACAGAUGCGAGUGUCAUUGAAACCUCCACAUAAACGAAUACGACCCCACCCCAGCUCUUUUACUCUAAUACCGAUAUUCGUCCGCCCCUCCAUUUCCGCGAGUACAGAAACGCACUUUCCACGCCAUCCUAGACCAGACACAUCGUAGCAGUCAACUAUACAGGACCACUACAGGACCGACGCUCGUCCAAGAAGAGAAUAACACGCGCCCCAUCGGACUCUGUCAAUUGUCUACAUUUUACGUCUGAUCAACGAAUCCACGACGAGGGAUUUUUCCCACCCAUGUGCAAUACAAAAAAACUUGGAUUAUCAGAGAGGGGUAUCCGGUAUAACCACCAGCACCGAACUUCCGAAGCGUUUACUUCUUCGAGUUUAGUGUGACAGCGUGCAAGUGUGCUCUAUCAGAUAACAUUUCUACGAGAUAGAAUUUCGAUUCGUCAUUUUCGUUGAUGAAUGGUGAAGAUUAAGGUGAUCUGUCAGUUGUUUGCUCGGUGAACAUCCUGUUACACUUGGACAUUCUUGAUUUUUCUCAAGAAAAAUCAAAGUUACGCUUUGUUCUCUGAUAAUAUAAGAGAAUAAGAAUCGACAAUGGGGAAAAAAGG